rnacentral:rRNA from 1 species
CUACGGGCGGCUCCAGUGGGUAAUAUUGCACAAUGGAGGGACCCCUGAUGCCGCAACGCCGCGUAGAGGACUACGCUUUUCGGAGCGUAAACUCCUUUUAUAUAGGAAGAAGAUGACGGUACUAUAUGAAUAAGCGCCGGCUAACUCCGUGCCAGCAGCCGCGGUAAUACGGAGGGCGCAAGCGUUACUCGGAAUCACUGGGCGUAAAGAGCGUGUAGGCGGAUUAAAAAGUCAGAAGUGAAAUCCUAUAGCUUAACUAUAGAACUGAUUCUGAAACUCUUAAUCUAGAAUAUGGGAGAGGUAGAUGGAAUUUCUGGUGUAGGGGUAAAAUCCGUAGAGAUCAGAAGGAAUACCGAAUGCGAAGGCGAUCUACUAGAGCAUCAUUGGCGCAGAGGAGCGAAAGCGUGGGUAGCAAACAGGAUUAGAUACCCCCGUAGUC